UAGAAAAAAGAUGUGGAAACGUGGGAGAGCAGACACUAGAGCGGAGUAGGGAGAUGGCUUCACGUCUUCACCCAUGUUCAAUUUUGACUGCCCAUUGCGGUUUCCUGCAAAAAGGGAUUGGAGGCCGCUGAUGAAAACAGGAGCAAUUGGGAAAUUGAACAAGCUAGGAAACAGAUAAGGGGUCAUGACCAAAACAGAAACAGGAAGACUUGAGAAAUACAAAGAUUUUGAAGAUUUGGAAUUUAUAUAAGGGGUUC